rnacentral:rRNA from 1 species
UCGGGAAUUUUGGGCAAUGGGCGAAAGCCUGACCCAGCAACGCCGCGUGAGGGAUGAAGUAUUUCGGUAUGUAAACCUCGAAAGAAUGGGAAGAAUUAAUGACGGUACCAUUUAUAAGCUCCGGCUAACUACGUGCCAGCAGCCGCGGUAAUACGUAGGGAGCAAGUGUUGUUCGGAUUUACUGGGCGUAAAGGGUGCGUAGGCGGCGCUCUAAGUUUGGUGUGAAAUCUCCCGGCUUAACUGGGAGGGUGCACUGAAAACUGGGGCGCUCGAGUAUGGGAGAGGAAAGCGGAAUUCCUGGUGUAGCGGUGAAAUGCGUAGAGAUCAGGAGGAACACCUGCGGUGCAGACGGCUUUCUGGACCAUCACUGACGCUGAGGCACGAAAGCGUGGGUAGCAAACA